rnacentral:rRNA from 1 species
GAUGAACGCUGGCGGCGUGCCUAAUACAUGCAAGUCGAGCGAACGGACGAGAAGCUUGCUUCUCUGAUGUUAGCGGCGGACGGGUGAGUAACACGUGGAUAACCUACCUAUAAGACUGGGAUAACUUCGGGAAACCGGAGCUAAUACCGGAUGAUAUUUUGAACCGCAUGGUUCAAAAGUGAAAGACGGUCUUGCUGUCACUUAUAGAUGGAUCCGCGCUGCAUUAGCUAGUUGGUAAGGUAACGGCUUACCAAGGCAACGAUGCAUAGCCGACCUGAGAGGGGGAUCGGCCACACUGGAACUGAGACACGGUCCAGACUCCUACGGGAGGCAGCAGUAGGGAAUCUUCCGCAAUGGGCGAAAGCCUGACGGAGCAACGCCGCGUGAGUGAUGAAGGUCUGCGGAUCGUAAAACUCUGUUAUUAGGGAAGAACAUAUGUGUAAGUAACUGUGCACAUCUUGACGGUACCUAAACAGAAAGCCACGGCUAACUACGU